GAGUAAAUCCAUGGGCAUGGGAGGGAAACUGAAAAUUCAUCAUCCAAAGUUCUUAUAUUUUAGGGCUAUUUGGAACACAGGCCAAAAACUGUGCUUCCCAGACAUAGGAUGUCUAAGGCCAGCCACCACUGGCUCUGUAUGAUCAGAGCUGGUCUUGAGUCAUAGCACUAAAUCAUCUUCUUCCCUGGAAAAAAGUGCUGAGAUAACAAAUGACUUCAAGGGUUCCAAACUCCAUCACCACCAAAUAAAAAACUUGAUAACUUGGA